GAGAGGGCUGAUGGGACUUCUUGGUAACAAUACUGGAAAGGAAAAGGCUGUCAGGGCAGGCAUUGCCUCUACCUCACUAACAUCACCUCCAGCUGCAGGACAACAGGGGGUCCCUCUCUGCUACACCCAUAGGCAUUACCCCAAAUGCUGCACAGUUCUGCUGACUUCAGAUGGACCCGUUACUGAACUGGGUUUGAUGCUGAUGUCCAGCUGAAACUAAUCAAAAGUCCAGGCUCUUUGGACCCCAAUAGGACAAAACUCCUAAUGAAGAUGAAUGUAGGACAAUAGAGGGAAUGAAAGGGUAUCUGGUCUCAUCUACUCCGCAAGGUAGAUUUACACUCAAGAGAAUAAAAAUGAUUGAGUUGUGUCCUUUUUAAAUGUUAUCUUUCUAUCUCUCCUAUUUAGCGCAUCUCAGUGCUUUUUUCUGUUUCUUUAGAGCUCUACAUAAGAUGUCUUUGUGCGUUUCCUCCAAGAGCUGCCCUGGGAGAUCUAUGAAUUAAUCUCUCUCCUCACACCAAACCCAUGGCACAGAAAAUCUAUUUCUCC
rnacentral:lncRNA from 1 species